rnacentral:rRNA from 1 species
GACGAACGCUGGCGGCGUGCUUAACACAUGCAAGUCGAACGGAAAGGCCCUGCUUUUGUGGGGUGCUCGAUUGGCGAACGGGUGAGUAACACGUGAGUAACCUGCCCUUGACUUUGGGAUAACUUCAGGAAACUGGGGCUAAUACCGGAGAGGAUCUCCUGCUGCAUGGUGGGGGUUGGAAAGUUUCGGCGGUUGGGGAUGGACUCGCGGGUUAUCAGCUUGUUGGGGGGGUAGUGGCGUACCAAGGCUUUGACGGGUAGGCGGCCUGAGAGGGUGACCGGCCACAUGGCGCCUGAGAUACGGCCCAGACUCCUACCGGAGGCAGCAGUGGGGAAUCUUGCACAAUGGGCGGAAGCCUGAUGAAGCAACGCCGCGUGCGGGAUGACGGCCUUCGGGUUGUAAACCGCUUUCGCCUGUGCCGAAGCGUGAGUGACGGUAAUGGGUAAAGAAGCCCCGGCUAACUACGUG